UACGUAGGGUGCAAGCGUUAAUCGGAAUUACUGGGCGUAAAGCGUGCGCAGGCGGCUUGCUAAGACAGGUGUGAAAGCCCCGAGCUUAACUUGGGAAUGGCGCUUGUGACUGGCAGGCUGGAGUGUGGCAGAGGGAGGUGGAAUUCCACGUGUAGCAGUGAAAUGCGUAGAGAUGUGGAGGAACACCGAUGGCGAAGGCAGCCUCCUGGGCCAACACUGACGCUCAUGCACGAAAGCUAGGGGAGCAAACGGG
rnacentral:rRNA from 1 species